rnacentral:rRNA from 1 species
GACGAACGCUGGCGGCGUGCUUAACACAUGCAAGUCGAACGGAAAGGCCCUGCUUUUUUGGGGUGCUCGAGUGGCGAACGGGUGAGUAACACGUGAGUAACCUGCCCUUGACUUUGGGAUAACUUCAGGAAACUGGGGCUAAUACCGGAUAGGAGCUCCUGCUGCAUGGUGGGGGUUGGAAAGUUUCGGCGGUUGGGGAUGGACUCGCGGCUUAUCAGCUUGUUGGUGGGGUAGUGGCUUACCAAGGCUUUGAAGGGUAGCCGGCCUGAGAGGGUGACCGGCCACAUUGGGACUGAGAUACGGCCCAGACUCCAACGGGAGGCAGCAGUGGGGAAUAUUGCACAAUGGGCGGAAGCCUGAUGCAGCAACGCCGCGUGCGGGAUGACGGCCUUAGGGUUGUAAACCGCUUUCGCCUGUGACGAAGCGUGAGUGACGGUAAUGGGUAAAGAAGCACCGGCUAACUACGUG